AUCAAGUGAAAUAAGGGCAUCUGGUGGAUGCCUUGGCACUGAGAGGCGAUGAAGGACGUAGCACGCUGCGAUAAGCCAUGGGGAGCCGCGAGCAGGCAUUGAUCCGUGGAUUUCCGAAUGGGGAAACCCACCCAGCGAUGGGUAUCUUCAACUGAAUUCAUAGGUUGGAGAGGCGAACCCGGGGAACUGAAACAUCUAAGUACCCGGAGGAAAGGACAUCAACCGAGACUCCGCUAGUAGUGGCGAGCGAACGCGGACCAGGCCAGUGAUUGAUGCUACAUAACCGGAAAUGCCUGGAAAGGCAUGCCAGAGUGGGUGAAAGCCCCGUACGGGUAAACCGGCAUUGAUCCUCGAGUAGGGCGGGACACGUGAAAUCCUGUCUGAACGUGGGGGGACCACCCUCCAAGCCUAAGUACUCCUCAGUGACCGAUAGCGAACCAGUACCGUGAGGGAAAGGUGAAAAGCACCCCGACGAGGGGAGUGAAACAGUACCUGAAACCGGAUGCCUACAAGCAGUCGGAGCGUCUUAAGGCGUGACGGCGUACCUUUUGUAUAAUGGGUCAGCGACUUACAGUAUGCAGCGAGCUUAAGGCGAUAGCUGGAGGCGUAGCGAAAGCGAGUCUGAAUAGGGCGCUUUAGUUGCAUGCUGUAGACCCGAAACCUGAUGAUCUAUCCAUGGCCAGGCUGAAGGUGGGGUAACACCCACUGGAGGGCCGAACCCACGCCCGUUGAAAAGGUCGGGGAUGAGCUGUGGAUAGGGGUGAAAGGCCAAUCAAAUCAGGAAAUAGCUGGUUCUCCGCGAAAUCUAUUUAGGUAGAGCGUCGGAUGAUCACCCACGGGGGUAGAGCACUGGAUGGGCUAGGGGGGCGCGAGCCUUACCAAACCUAACCAAACUCCGAAUACCGUGGAGUGCAGUCCGGCAGCCAGACGGUCGGUGCUAAGGUCGAUCGUCGAGAGGGAAAGAGCCCAGACCGCCAGCUAAGGUCCCCAAGUGGUGGCUAAGUGGGAAAGGAUGUGGGAAGGCCAUGACAACCAGGAGGUUGGCUUAGAAGCAGCCAUCCUUUAAAGAAAGCGUAAUAGCUCACUGGUCUAGAUAAGCCGGCCUGCGCCGAAAAUGUAACGGGGCUUAAGCCACCCACCGAAGCUGCGGAUGCUUCCCUUUAUUGG
rnacentral:rRNA from 1 species